rnacentral:rRNA from 1 species
UACGUAGGUGGCAAGCGUUGUCCGGAAUUAUUGGGCGUAAAGCGCGCGCAGGCGGUCCUUUAAGUCUGAUGUGAAAGCCCACGGCUCAACCGUGGAGGGUCAUUGGAAACUGGGGGACUUGAGUACAGAAGAGAAGAGUGGAAUUCCACGUGUAGCGGUGAAAUGCGUAGAGAUGUGGAGGAACACCAGUGGCGAAGGCGGCGUUCUGGACUGCAACUGACACUGAGGAACGAAAGCCAGGGGAGCAAACGGG